AGAGUUUGAUCCUGGCUCAGAUUGAACGCUGGCGGCAUGCUUUACACAUGCAAGUCGGACGGCAGCACAGAGAAGCUUGCUUCUUGGGUGGCGAGUGGCGAACGGGUGAGUAACAUAUCGGAACGUACCGAGUAAUGGGGGAUAACUAAUCGAAAGAUUAGCUAAUACCGCAUAUUCUCUGAGGAGGAAAGCAGGGGACCUUCGGGCCUUGCGUUAUUCGAGCGGCCGAUAUCUGAUUAGCUAGUUGGUGGGGUAAAGGCCUACCAAGGCGACGAUCAGUAGCGGGUCUGAGAGGAUGAUUCGCCACACUGGGACUGAGACACGGCCCAGACUCCUACGGGAGGCAGCAGUGGGGAAUUUUGGACAAUGGGCGCAAGCCUGAUCCAGCCAUGCCGCGUGUCUGAAGAAGGCCUUCGGGUUGUAAAGGACUUUUGUCAGGGAAGAAAAGGCUGUCGCUAAUACCGACAGUUGAUGACGGUACCUGAAGAAUAAGCACCGGCUAACUACGUGCCAGCAGCCGCGGUAAUACGUAGGGUGCGAGCGUUAAUCGGAAUUACUGGGCGUAAAGCGAGCGCAGACGGUUACUUAAGCAGGAUGUGAAAUCCCCGGGCUUAACCUGGGAACUGCGUUCUGAACUGGGUGACUAGAGUGUGUCAGAGGGAGGUAGAAUUCCACGUGUAGCAGUGAAAUGCGUAGAGAUGUGGAGGAAUACCGAUGGCGAAGGCAGCCUCCUGGGAUGACACUGACGUUCAUGCUCGAAAGCGUGGGUAGCAAACAGGAUUAGAUACCCUGGUAGUCCACGCCCUAAAC
rnacentral:rRNA from 1 species